GAUCUGCGAAAGGACUCCCCAUGGGAACACAGACACUAGAGCAGCGAGGGCGCCAGGCUACCCUGGAGCGAGGAGAGGUGACACCUUCGCAUCUGUCCCUUCAUCUUGGGAAGAUUCUACCUUUCAGACAGACCAACCCAGGUUGAGGCUGCCGUGGUGGUGUCCGCUUAAUUCCAGCUAGGACACCGUCUUAAGAAGCCAUCACAAUCCAACCCUCCAAAUAACAGCAUUAAGGGCAGCGAGGAGGCGAAUCUUUAGGGAGACCCCACUCUCUGUACGUGUGUGUCCCAGGGGACACACUUGAAAGGGCCAGAGAUGGUACAGACGCUCACAUGUGACAAGAGAGAACCUGGAAACUCCGCACCUCCGGCUCCCCACAGCUGGGGUUUUGCUGUCUUCAACCCUCGGGCGGGGGACGUCCGGCAGCUCUGCAAACGCGCAGACACGCGAACCCCAUCGCCUCGCGCGCCCUUUGGCUCCGCUGGUGCGUGUCGGGGAUGCGGCCGCGCAGGCGCUCGCUCCCUGGCUUCCUGGCCGGGUAGCGGGCGUUCGGCUACCGGAGUCCAGCCUAAGGGCCCAGCCGAGGUCUCCCCGCGCGAGGCGGUUGCGCUAGGUGAGCGGGUACCGCGGCCGCGCCUCCCUUGUCAUUUACUCAGCGGUCAGAGGCAUCCUGCGUCUGGGAGUCCCAAGUGCCUUCGGCUGGGUGCCCCUGUCCGAUCCUCAAAAGGAAAGCACAAAUCCCGGGUGCGAGUCUAACCCAGGACCGAACUUUCCCGCGAACCUGAAGUUACCAUGGGGCGGGAGCCACCUUAGCGCCGCGUCCGCCCGCCCCUCGCACCGGCUAGGAUGCUGCGGAAGGCAGGGGCGCCGAGAGGCAAGGGUGAAAGACGCCGUCCAUACCCCCAAAGCCCGAACCUGCAUCUCCUCUGCGAGGCGCAGGGCGGGAGGACCGCUGCAGUUGGGAGCCGGCUCCGGACAGGCAAAGCGACCCGACAGGUAACCUUCCACAGGCCCACACAUGUGUUAUCAGCCAUACCUUAGGACAGAAGGAAUGAGUUUGCAGAAAGGAUGACAACUCCAGGAAGGAAAUUGGUAGACUCAACGUCCAGGGAACCUACGAAUCUGCUAUCCCAAGCCUUCUGCCCCCAAACACUUCACCCUGAAAUACAGCCCAGAGCAUGCACUCAGUGAGUCCCACUGAAGAAGAGACGGAAGGCAGAACUGAACAAGAUGUGUCCAGAAGAGGUAGCCAUAGAUCAUGGACAUGACCAAAAGAAGCUUACUUUAUUUUCAACCCUACAACCAUACUGAGAAUUUAGCCCUGGGGACAUCUUCCGAUAUAAUCUGGCAUAGAAGAGUGGUUAUCACACCUUUAGCAUGGAUGAAGUUUCGCUCUUCUUGCCCAGGCUGGAGUGCAAUGGCACAAUCUCAGCUCACUGCAACCUCUGCCUCCUGGGUUCAAGCGAUUCUCCUGCCUCAGCCCCCUGAGUAGCUGGGAUUACAGGUAUGCACCACCACACUCAGCUAAUUUUGUAUCUUUAGUAGACAGGGUUUCUCCAUGUUGGUCACUCUGGUCUCGAACACCCAACGUCAGGUGAUCUGCCCACCUCAAACUCAAAGUGUUGGGAUUACAGGCAUGAGCCACCGCUCACCUGGCGACUUUUUUUUUUUUUCCUAUUUGUAAACCAUGAGAAUUAGAGUAAAUGGCACAUAAGACUUGUCUUGCUUGAUGCUUGAACAUUUUCUCUAGUUCUUAAAGUCUAAGCAAUUUGUGGAUGCUUAAGGGUAGAAGGGCUCUGAUCAUUACCUGUUGGUCAGUACAAUUCAGCCAGAAGCCAGAGCUAUUUGAUUAGGAGUUAAAAGUGUUGUAGCUACUGUUUGAUCAUGUUUUGGUUUUGACCUUAGAUAAUUUACUGUUCAUUUCUGCUUAGAAACGUACAGUUAUUUAAUAGUACCCUCAUGCUAAGGAAAAGCUCAUGUAGAUUUCAAGGAAACUCUUCUUAGUCCUAGACAGUAACUUAUGUUCUGGAAGAAUGUGGUUCCGUAAGUAUGAAUUAGUGAAGAUAAAAUAGGGGUCCUCAACUUUAUACCUUUUACAAUGGGAAAGAUUUAUUUUAUGGUAUUUGUCUAUCAUAAAUUAUUAUUAUUAUUAUUGUUAUUAUUAUUAUUAUUAGAGAUGGAGUUUCACUCUUGUUGCCCAGGCUGGAGUGCAAUGGCACGAUUUCAGCUCACUGAAACUUCUGCCUCCCAGGUUCCAGCGAUUCUUCUGCCUCAGUCUCCUGAGUAGCUGGAAUUACAGGCUCCCACCACUACACCUGGCUAUUUUUUUAGAUUUUUAGUAGAGACGGGAUUUCACUAUGUUGGGCAGGCUGGUCUCGAACUCCUGACCUCAUGGUCCACCUGCCUCGGCCUCCCACAGUGCUGGGAUUACAGGGGUAUCAUAAAUUAUUUCGAAUCUUUGAGAGCAAAAUAUAUAUGUGCCAAUGUAUCGAAGUUAGCGAUUACUUAAAAAUGUGACUGCAGGUAUUCAAGAAUUAAAGUUAGCAAAUAACUUCUAUUUCCUCUGUCAUUAUAAAAGGAAUAGAAUGCUGGAUGUUUGUCGUUUUAAUACCCCAAAUCUUAAGUCACUUAAAUCUGCCACAAAUAUUUUAAAAUAAAAUCAAAGGCAAGUUCUGUAAAAUGAGCAAACAUUUCUAUAUUUUGUAAUUUAUAUACAAAUAUAAAUACAGCUUAUCUUAAAAAUUUAAACUUUAACUCAAUAUCUUUUAUUUUAUUUAUUCUGAAGCUAGUUGAUGUCAUCUUUAGAGAUAACAUGAGUUGAGCUGUAAUUUUCCAAAUAAAUUUCAAAUAAUUUAGCAUUUUAAUCCAUAUAUAUGGAGUGUAUUGUUUAUGUAAUAUUCAACAUUCAAACUCCCAGACUUUUUACUGAGAGUUGGAUUAUCUCAUAUGUAACACUAUGCUAUUAUUUCACUUUUUGCAUAGUACACAGGAAAAGACAAUGAUGUCCUUAGUUGCCUAAUUCAGAUAAACAUUUCAAGUUUCUUAACUAUGUAUCUAAUAUGAGACCAAAAUACUGGGUUGAUACUUAUGUAUUAAAUUUCACAUCCUUGCUUCUUUUGGAAAAUGUGUGUCAUAGUAUGGCAUAGAAAAGUAUUGGUCGGAUGUCAUGGUGAAUGAAUGUAGAAUAGAUCGUACUCUUCUGACUCUAAUCCUUUUCUUAAGUUAGAAAUUUAGGAUAAAACCAUGUUUGAGGCAUGAUUUAGAACAUAGAUAUUAAUCAUCAUGUAAGUUUCUCUUACCUAUUAGUAACAUCUACUCUUGUCUAAACAUGUUUUACAUUUGAAAAUCUGAUGAUCUUAAAUUCUUAUAAAUGGAUAAAGAGAUUUCUCAGUGCUUAAAAAUAUUUUGUAUAUUUAAAUUUUUUAUGUAUUAAAAUUAUUUCAGUAUGCUUUUAGAAUUGCUCUCAUUUACCAGAUAAGAAGAAAAAUAAUUCUAUCAACUUGGACAAUCUCUCAAUGUUGUUCUAAUCUGCUACUUUCUAAUUAGCUUCAGUCUUUGUGUCCAGGAAAGUGUGAGGCCCAGGGGGGAAAAAUUCCCAAAGAAUCUUGGAGAGUAAGCUGAGCUUUCUCCACCAAAUAGUAAGUGUCUAUACAUUAAAAUAAUAAUAAUGAUCCAUUAGCCACUGUUCAAUAAAGUUUCUGGAAAAUAGUAUCAUGAAAAAGAUUGCCUUAUGUUGGGUUCCUCAUAAAUACUGAAAAAAAUAAGAAUUAAAACUUUAUCAACUUAAGCAGUUAUUUUUUGUGGAGUUUCUCCUUGAUAUGAAUAAUACUAGACACACACAAAUGCAUGCACACACACACAUACAUAUACAGGUCUCUGGGCAAAUACAUUUGGCGGCAGAGACUUGAAAAUUAAAGGAUAGCCAGGUACAGCGGCUUAUCCUGUAAUCCCAGAUACUCACGAGGCCGAGGCUUGAUGAUUCCUGGAGACCAGGAAUUUGAAAUCAGCCUGAGAAGCAUAGCAAACCCCUUCUCUAAAAAUAUAAAAUAAAAUUAUGUGGGCAUGGUAGCACAUGCUUGUAGUCCCAGCUACUCUGGAGGCUGAGGUGAGAGGCUAUAGUGAGCUGCGAUUGCGCUAUUGCACUCCAGACAGGGUGACAGAGUGAGAACC
ensembl:lncRNA novel transcript